rnacentral:rRNA from 1 species
GUGGGGAAUCUUGCGCAAUGGCCGCAAGGCUGACGCAGCGACGCCGCGUGUGGGAUGACGGCCUUCGGGUUGUAAACCACUGUCGGGAGGAACGAAUACGCGAUGAUGAAUCGUGGGUGACGGUACCUCCAAAGGAAGCACCGGCUAACUCCGUGCCAGCAGCCGCGGUAAUACGGAGGGUGCGAGCGUUGUCCGGAAUCACUGGGCGUAAAGGGCGCGUAGGUGGCCCGUUAAGUGGUCGGUGAAAUCCCGGGGCUCAACUCCGGGGCUGCCGAUCAGACUGGCGAGCUAGAGCACGGUAGGGGCAGAUGGAAUUCCCGGUGUAGCGGUGGAAUGCGUAGAGAUCGGGAAGAAUACCAGUGGCGAAGGCGUUCUGCUGGGCCGUUGCUGACACUGAGGCGCGACAGCGUGGGGAGCAAACAGGAUUAGAAACCCGUGUAGUCC